rnacentral:rRNA from 1 species
UGGGGAAUAUUGCGCAAUGGGCGAAAGCCUGACGCAGCAACGCCGCGUGAGGGAUGAAGGCCUUCGGGUUGUAAACCUCUUUUAGCAGGGAAGAAGCGAAAGUGACGGUACCUGCAGAAAAAGCACCGGCUAACUACGUGCCAGCAGCCGCGGUAAUACGUAGGGUGCAAGCGUUAUCCGGAAUUAUUGGGCGUAAAGAGCUCGUAGGCGGUUUGUCGCGUCUGCUGUGAAAAUUCGAGGCUCAACCUCGGACUUGCAGUGGGUACGGGCAGACUAGAGUGCAGUAGGGGAGAAGGGAAUUCCUGGUGUAGCGGUGGAAUGCGCAGAUAUCAGGAGGAACACCAAUGGCGAAGGCACUUCUCUGGGCUGUAACUGACGCUGAGGAGCGAAAGCGUGGGGAGCGAACAGG